GGCUGGUUCGAUUGAGUGCAGUGGUGUUUACAACUAAUCGAUCACAACCAGUUACAAAUGUCUUUGUUCCUUCUCCACUCCCACUGCUUCACUUGAUUAGCCUUAA
ensembl:misc_RNA Y_RNA Y RNA